rnacentral:rRNA from 1 species
UUUAACUGAGCGUUCAGUUACUUGACGUAGACCCGAAACCGGGCGACCUACCCAUGAGCAGGAUGAAGCGAAAGGAAAAUUUCGUGGAGGUCCGAACCCACGAGCGUUGAAAAGCUCGGGGAUGACUGGUGGGUAGCGGUGAAAUUCCAAUCGAGCCCGGAGAUAGCUGGUUCUCCCCGAAAUAGCUUUAGGGCUAGCCUCA